rnacentral:rRNA from 1 species
AUUGAAGGCUGAAAUUCGCCUUCAUGAAGCCGGAAUUGCUAGUAAUGGCAGGUCAGCAUACUGCCGUGAAUACGUUCCCGGGCCUUGUACACACCGCCCGUCACACCAUGAGAGUUGGGAAUACCCGAAGCCUGUGAGCUAACGUAAGAGGCAGCAGUCGAAGGUAGAAUCAAUGAUUGGGGUGAAGUCGUAACAAGGUACC